GACGGAGGGUGCAAGCGUUGUUCGGAAUUACUGGGCGUAAAGCGUACGUAGGCGGCGGGUUAAGUCGAAUGUUAAAGCCUGGGGCUCAACCCCAGAGAUGCACUCGAUACUGGCUUGCUAGAGGGUGAUAGAGGAAAGCGGAAUUCCCAGUGUAGCGGUGAAAUGCGUAGAUAUUGGGAGGAACAUCAGUAGCGAAGGCGGCUUUCUGGGUCACACCUGACGCUGAGGUACGAAAGCGUGGGGAGCAGACGGG
rnacentral:rRNA from 1 species